AUCAGCUCGAGCGCGAGACUCCGCCUGCAGCCGCAGCCUCUCGGAUCCACCUUAAAUCUUCAGUGGACUCCGCGCAGGGAGCUAAAGCUUCGUGCAUCCACACAGGAAAAUAUGGAAAACACAAACUGCAUUUCGUAGCCACAGGAAACAUCCUUGAGUUGUGGGCCUCGAUGAUCUAAAUGUUACCUUAGACCAUGUUUGUGUAAACAGGACUCCUUAAGCUUCGUGCAGCACAUUAAAUCUGACUCAGUGAA